ensembl:lncRNA
GUUCAUCUGAGCUGUCAAAGCUUUAAUCAAUAGGUGAUAUUAAAACAACACAACAAUCAAAGUUACUUUCAUGUAUGAUUUUAAGACGUAAGUUCAUGUUUAUGUUGGUGAAAUUGAAAUGGACAUGAGACACUUACUCUUGACGGGGUCUCGUAAAUAUGGAAUGCAGUGAAGUAGGGCCAGGUGCCACUGAGUUUGAAUUGUUCUAGGAUUUGUCUUUUUGAUAGUAGGCAAGUUCUUAGUCUUCCUGAAAUUUAGAGUUGCAAAAAAAUGUACAGUAGACUUAUGCUUCUUACUGUUGGUUUUGUUUCUUUGCUAUUCAGCAUCUGAGCAUCCUUUAUCCUCUUUCUGGCAUGUGGGCAUUGGUCCCACUCUGGAACAUAAAAGGCCAAUUCUCCUGCCCUGUUGUAGCUUUAACAGUAGCUGUCAAACCUUGUCGUCCAUGAGGAUCACAUGGAAAGCUUUUAAAAGCAUAGAUUGCUGGGCCACACCCCCUGCGGGGUUUGAGUAUUUACAUCUCUAACAAGUUCCCAGGUGAUGUGCAUGUUGCUGGUUAGGGAUCACACUUUAAGAACCACUGAACGAGCAUGUGAGUACGUGGCUUAGGUCAAACAAGGAGAUGCCUCUGUCUGGACUUGAGACAAUGAUGCAAACACAAGGUCAGCUGGGAGACUCUCUGUGAGUAGAGUAGACACAUCAGCAAUCCAGCUCUGGUGGUGGACAGUGUACGACAGCAGCUAUCGAACAGGUCUGUGCCCUGAGCUUGGCACAGUAAUCCUGGAGCGUGAGUGAACUGGUGAUGGAAAAAUCAACCAUUGGACCAAUAAACACACUCAUAUAGCUUAUAUUUUCAGUCCUAUUCAUUCGCUGGAACUCUCAAGGAGCAUAAAUUCCUCUCAUUUUGGAGAGGAAAAUUAGAAUCUGAAAAAUCUCUUCUGAGAGCUCGCUUUUUGGUGGUUUUCCUGGUUCCUGUGAGGACCCAUGUGUUUGAAUGAAAUAGCUUGCUGCUGACUGAAUGAUUACUUGUCGUUCUGCUGCUAGUACAUGAAGAAUCUCUCUACACAUGGAACGGUAGGAGCACGUUGCAGUGAAGACUUUGUUAAACAUUCUCCUGGGAAACAUACAUUUUGCGUGAGAAACCAGCAGACAUCCCCUCAAAACGGUCCUUUGACCUCCUGAAAAGACUUCCAUUAUUCCAGUUCACAAAUCAAGACAGGCUAAGCUGUAUCAAGCACUCCUGCUCAUUUGACCCCAAACUUUUGUUGUGGUUUUACUCAAGAGCUAAGACAUGAAAACAUGGAGAGACACAAGUUCUUUUGAAACAGUUAGCAGAGUCUGAGAUGCUACUUGCCAAGUACAAGGUGGAUAUUUAAUUUUUGAAGGUGGUUUGUUUCCUGUAUGUAAACUCUCCACCCUUCAGGGUUGAUUUUGGAAGUCAUGUAAACAGUUCAGAUUUCUCCUUGCCAUUUUCAGGGGUUCAUUUCUGAAGAAUUAAGAAGGGUGUAUUCCCUGUGUGUGUCCUGGGGGUUUCCGUUUCAUCUUCCUUCUCCUUGAACUGUAACGUUAGGCUGUGACCUCCUCUUCUGGUCUUCUUGAGCAUGUCCUGUAUCUCCUCUUCAGAGUCUUCAUGGGUGAGACAGCCUUUGUGCACAAGCUCUGACAGAGGUUCAAGGAGAAAGCUCUCUCUGUUUGGAGAAUGUCCUGUUUGGUGCCAAAAAGAACACAGCCUGGUGUACAGCGAUGAAACACCCUUGUUUGUGUCAGCUCUGCCUUUAAUCUCUUUGAAAAUUGGAAUAUUCACCAAAUCUCUUCAAAGAUCUUUUUCAUUUGUAAAAUGAGGUUAAUUAAACUACACUUUGGUCAGGAUAGGUCUGAUUUUGCAAUGAUAACAAGCAUGCCCCAAAUUUCAGUUGUAUAAAAGGGCAAAGGUUUUUACGCGUUCCACAUGGAUCGGCAGGAGAUCUUGGGUCUGGGUAUUUGCUUAGGGAUUCCGACUCCACACCUCAUCAAAUGCUUCUCAAAGCAGCCAACACGUGCUCCUGGUAUUCAGUUUUUAAACCUCUUCCCGAGACCUUGAGUUUAUUAAGUCCAGCAUUUGCUUCUAAUUUAUUUCAGGUGAGGAGUUACUAAAUGUUUUGCCACUAAAAGGCAGAAUGCCAUCUUUUAGGCCUGCCAUGAACAGUUUCCUCACCAGCCACUGCUUGGUUCCUAAACCAAUGCUAUAUAUUUCAGUUUGGGGCACCAUCCUAAUUAUAUAUGAUAAUUUCUAGAAACAUCAUGUUAGUAUGGAUUAUGCUGUGAUAGCAAAUAACCUCCCCCCAAAAAAGUUAAUGACUUAAAACAAUAAAGGAUUAUUUCUCACUCAAGACACAUUCUCUUAAGCAUUGCUUGGGCAAUUACUCAUUACAGCUCCUCGAGGAUCCAAGUUCAACAAAAUGGAGCCACCACGUCACACAUUGUUGAUUGUUGAUUGCUGCACCAAAGAGUAAAGGGAAUUCCAGGGGGUCUCACACCAGCAAUUAAACACAC